rnacentral:rRNA from 1 species
CUUGGUGGCCGUAGCGGGGGUCCCAGCACCCGAUCCCAUUCCGAACUCGGUAGUGAAAGCCCUAAGCGCCGAUGGUACUUCGUCUUAAGACGCGGGAGAGUAGGUCGCUGCCAAGC